AACUCUCGGCAAUAGAUAUCUCGACUCUCACAUCGACUAAGAACGUAGCAAAAUGUGAUACUUGGUGUGAAUUGCAGAUUCUCGUGAACCAUCGAGUCUUUGAAUGCAAGUUUCACCCAAAGCUAUUUGGCCGAGGGCACGUCUACCUGGGCAUCA